rnacentral:lncRNA from 1 species
CGCCCCCCUCCGCCGAUCCGGAUCCUCUGCGCUCCUCCUUCGCUCGUGACGGACACGGCGGAUCGGCCGAUCUACCAGCGUCCAGCGGCAACGACGUCAGAUCUGCCUGCCUGCCGUGGUAGGGCCGGCAGGUCGGCCUUCCUUCAUUCCCUUCGCGCUACCCUUUCCCGAACCCCGCGGCCCCACCGUCGGAACCGCACCUGCUCCGGCUUUAGCGAGCAGCCGAGAGCAUAAUUGCGUUGCGUCCUCGCCGGGCUGUGCGAUGGUAUGGUAGUACCACGCCGGAGCGGCGGCCGUGCGAUCGUGCACUGGCUGGUCGCUGAACGAAUGGAUCAAUGAACGAUGCUGCUGCUGCAUAAUUGCGCGCGAUUUUUCUCUUCGGUUUGGUGGACGAGCGUUACGGGCUAGCUAGCCCCUAGUGGGGGCGCGUGGGUUUUGUGCGAUGGAAGGAAUGGAAGGGCUACAGUAGAGGGCAGCGCAAAUGCAAAACCUGAUGAAUGUUUGUUUA